rnacentral:rRNA from 1 species
CCUACGGGAGGCAGCAGUAACGAAUCUUCCGCAAUGCGCGAAAGCGUGACGGAGCAAUGCCGCGUGUAGGAUGAAGCCCCUCGGGGUGUAAACUGCUGUCAGGGUUUAGGAACACAAUGACCAGACCCAAAGGAAGAGACGACUAACUCUGUGCCAGCAGCCGCGGUAAU